UACGUAGGAUGCGAGCGUUGUCCGGAAUUAUUGGGCGUAAAGAGAACGUAGGCGGUUUGUUAAGUUUGGGCUUAAAGACUGGGGCUCAACCCCAGGAGUGGCUCGAAAACUGACAGACUAGAGGAUGGCAGAGGAAAGUGGAAUUCCCAGUGUAGCGGUGAAAUGCGUAGAUAUUGGGAGGAACACCAGUGGCGAAAGCGACUUUCUGGGCCAUUCCUGACGCUGAGGUUCGAAAGCGUGGGGAGCGAACAGG
rnacentral:rRNA from 1 species